GACGUAGGGCGCGAGCGUUGUCCGGAUUUAUUGGGCGUAAAGAGCUCGUAGGCGGCUUGUCGCGUCGACUGUGAAAACCCGCGGCUCAACUGCGGGCCUGCAGCCGAUACGGGCAGGCUAGAGUUCGGUAGGGGAGACUGGAAUUCCUGGUGUAGCGGUGAAAUGCGCAGAUAUCAGGAGGAACACCAGUGGCGAAGGCGGUUCUCUGGGCAUUACCUGACGCUGAGGAGCGAAAGUGUGGGGAGCGAACAGG
rnacentral:rRNA from 1 species